rnacentral:rRNA from 1 species
AUGAACGCUGGCGGCGUGCCUUAGGCAUGCAAGUCGAACGGUUGCCUUCGGGCAACAGUGGCAGACGGGUGAGUAACGGGUAGGAAUCUACCCCUUGGUAGGGAAUAACUCAUCGAAAGAUGGGCUAAUACCGUAUAAGUUCGUAAGAAGAAAGGGCGUAACUGCCCGCCGAGGGAUGUGCCUGCCUGCUAUCAGCUUGUUGGUGAGGUAAUGGCUCACCAAGGCUAUGACGGCUAGGGGGCGUGAGAGCGUGAUCCCCCACAAUGAAACUGCGACACGGUUCAUACAUCUACGGAUGGCAGCAACCAGGAAUAUUGCGCAAUGGACGAAAGUCUGACGCAGCGACGCCGCGUGCGGGAUUAAGGCCUUCGGGUCGUAAACCGCUGUGGAGAGGGAUGAAUUUUGACAGUACCUUUCUAGAAAGCACCUGCUAACUACGUGCCAGAAGCCUCGGUAAUACGUAGGGUGCUAGCGUUAUCCGGAAUCACUGGGCGUAAAGGGUUUUAUAGGCGGUAAGUUAAGUGGUGGGUUAAAGGCCAAGGCUCAACCUUGGAUAUGCCCAUCAAACUAACUAACUAGAGAUAAUUUGGGGAUGCUGGAAUUCUCGGUGUAGUAGUGAAAUGCGUUGAUAUCGAGAAGAACACCAAAGGCGAAGGCAGGCAUCUGGGAUUAUACUGACGCUGAUAAACGAAAGCUGGGGGAGCGAAAGGGAUUAGAGACCCCUGUAGUCCCAGCCGUAAACGAUGGACACUAGCUGUUUGCUCUUUAAGAGUGAGUGGCGCAAGCUAACGCGUUAAGUGUCCCGCCUGGGGAGUACGACCGCAAGGUUAAAACUCAAAGGAAUUGACGGGGAUGCGCACAACCAGCGUGCCAUGUGGUUUAAUUCGAUACAAAACGAUGAACCUUACCUAGACUUGACAUCCUGAUCAUAUCCCAUGGAAACAUAGGAGUCGGUUCGGCCGGAUCAGUGACAGCUGUUGCAUGGUUGUCGUCAGUUCGUGUCGUGAGGCGUCCUCUUAAGUGAGGUAACGAACGCAACCCCUGUUGCAUGUUAAAUAUCCAUGCAAGACUGCCCCUCUUAUUGGGGGGGAGGAAGGAGGGGACGACGUCAAAUCAGCAUGACGCUUACGUCUAGGGCUACACACAUGGUGUAAUGGGUGGUACAACGGGUCGCGACAGGGUAACCUUGAGCUAAUCCUUAUAAAACCACCCUCAGUUCGGAUUGGGGGCUGCAAUUCGCCCCCAUGAAGGGGAGUUGGUAGUAAUCGCAGGUCAGCUAUACUGCGGUGAAUACGUUCUCGCAUCUUGUACACACUGCCCGUCAAGUCA